AACGCACAUUGCGCCCAUUAGUAUUCUAGUGGGCAUGCCUGUUCGAGCGUCAUUUCGACCCUCGGGCCUGUACGGGUCUGGUGUUGGGGCCUUUGCCGCGAGGCAAGCCCUGAAAGCAAGCGGCGGGCUCGCUGUGACCCCGAGCGUAGUAAUUUUACACCUCGUUUAGGGCGUCUGGCGGGCGGCACCAGCCGUAAAAGCGCUGUAUGCACUGAAAAGUUGACCUCGGAUCAGGUAGGAAUACCCGCUGAACUUAA
rnacentral:misc_RNA from 1 species